GGUGAACGCUGGCGGCGUGCCUAACACAUGCAAGUCGAGCGGUGCAGUUUGAAGCUUCGGUGGAAAGCUGCAUAGCGGCGGACGGGUGAAGGAAAACGUAGGAACGUGCCCCUUGGAGUUGGAUAGCCACGGGAAACUGUGGGUAAACCGACAUAGACUCGAGAGAGUAAAGGCCGAAAGGCGCCAAGGGAGCGGCCUGCGGCCCAUCAGGUAGUUGGUAGUGUAAAGGACUACCAAGCCGACGACGGGUAGCCGGUCUGAGAGGAUGGCCGGCCACAAGGGCACUGAGAGACGGGCCCUACUCCUACGGGAGGCAGCAGUGGGGGAUUUUGGACAAUGGGCGAAAGCCUGAUCCAGCGACGCCGCGUGGAGGACGAAGCCCUUCGGGGUGUAAACUCCUUUUCUCAGGGAAAAAGGAUGAUGGUACCUGAGGAAUAAGCCCCGGCUAACUACGUG
rnacentral:rRNA from 1 species